rnacentral:misc_RNA from 1 species
AAGUCGUAACAAGGUUUCCGUAGGUGAACCUGCGGAAGGAUCAUUACAGUAGUCACCCGGGUUGCCGCAAGGCCCCCGCCGUAACCUACCACCCUUUGUUUAUUACUCUUUGUUGCUUUGGCAGGCCUGCCCUCGGGCUGCUGGCUCCGGCCGGCGAGCGCUUGCCAGAGGACCUAAACUCUGUUUGUCUAUACUGUCUGAGUACUAUAUAAUAGUUAAAA